rnacentral:rRNA from 1 species
UACAGAGGCCCCAAGCGUUACUGAGAAUCACUGGGUUUAAAGGGUGCGUAGGUGGUCCGUUAAGUUCGUUGUGAAGGCCCUGGGCUCAACCCAGGAACUGCUUCGAAUACUGGCGGACUUGAGGCUAGUAGAGGUCACUGGAACUGACGGUGGAGCGGUGAAAUACGUAGAUAUCGUCAGGAACGCCAAUGGUGAAGACAGGUGACUGGGCUAGUUCUGACACUGAGGCACGAAAGCGUGGGGAUCAAACGGG